rnacentral:lncRNA from 1 species
GAAUUUAGAAUUAUAGGGGUAUAACAAAAAGAGAAAAUUCAAGAAAACUUAACUUUGCUAUACUUAUUUUUUUUCACUAAACUUCACAAGAUUGCUUUGCCCCUGUUCAAGCAAAGAGAGAAAAAAAAAACUGUGAGUUUUAAACUUGGUAGUUGGUUUGUGGCCUUGAAUCCCUUGGAGGUUUGCCUUAUCCUUGCCCCAACUUGAUACGGUUGAUUAAACUAAUUAGUUGGCCAGCUUGAAUCUUCGUCUUCCAAAUUCUGUUGAAUCUUUGUUUGUUUCAGUAUGAUUCUAAUCUUCAUUUUCAAAUGCUUCACUCGUAACACUUAUCUUAACUGGUUCUCUGUCCUUGUCAAGGUGGUGAACGCCCAAUAAUCUCUGCUUAAUUUCACUGGGAGCCAU